rnacentral:rRNA from 1 species
CUACGGGUCGCAGCAGUGAGGAAUAUUGCACAAUGGGGGAAACCCUGAUGCAGCAACGCCGCGUGGAGGAUGACGCAUUUCGGUGUGUAAACUCCUUUUAUGAGUCAAGAAAAUGACGGUAGCUCAUGAAUAAGCACCGGCUAACUCCGUGCCAGCAGCCGCGGUAAUACGGAGGGUGCAAGCGUUACUCGGAAUCACUGGGCGUAAAGGACGCGUAGGCGGGCUUGUAAGUCAGGUGUGAAAUCCUACAGCUAAACUGUAGAACUGCACUUGAAACUACGAGCCUAGAGUAUGGGAGGGGCAGAUGGAAUUAGUGGUGUAGGGGUAAAAUCCGUAGAUAUCACUAGGAAUACCGAAAGCGAAGGCGAUCUGCUGGAACAUUACUGACGCUAAGGCGUGAAAGCGUGGGGAGCAAACGGGAUUAGAUACCCGCGUAGUC